UGCCAGCCGCCGCGGUAAUACGGAGGGUGCGAACGUUAAUCGGAAUUACUGGGCGUAAAGCGCGCGUAGGCGGUUCGAUAAGUGGGAUGUGAAAGCCCAGGGCUUAACCCUGGAACUGCAUUCCAAACUGUCGGGCUAGAGUAUGGUAGAGGGAGGUAGAAUUUCCUGUGUAGCGGUGAAAUGCGUAGAUAUAGGAAGGAAUACCGGUGGCGAAGGCGGCCUCCUGGACCAAUACUGACACUGAGGUGCGAAAGCGUGGGGAGCAAACAGGAUUAGAUA
rnacentral:rRNA from 1 species